rnacentral:rRNA from 1 species
GACGUAGGGCGCGAGCGUUGUCCGGAUUUAUUGGGCGUAAAGAGCUCGUAGGCGGCUUGUCGCGUCGUCCGUGAAAACCCACAGCUCAACUGUGGGCUUGCGGUCGAUACGGGCAGGCUAGAGUUCGGUAGGGGAGACUGGAAUUCCUGGUGUAGCGGUGAAAUGCGCAGAUAUCAGGAGGAACACCGGUGGCGAAGGCGGGUCUCUGGCCCGAUACUGACGCUGAGGUGCGAAAGCGUGGGGAGCAAACAGG